rnacentral:rRNA from 1 species
CGGCAGCGCGGGGGCAACCUGGCGGCGAGCGGCGAACGGGUGAGUAAUACAUCGGAACGUGUCCCGUAGUGGGGGAUAGCCCGGCGAAAGCCGGAUUAAUACCGCAUAUGCUCUACGGAGGAAAGUGGGGGACUCGCAAGGGCCUCACGCUAUGGGAGCGGCCGAUGUCCGAUUAGCUUGUUGGCGGGGUAAUGGCCCACCAAGGCGACGAUCGGUAGCUGGUCUGAGAGGAUGAUCAGCCACACUGGGACUGAGACACGGCCCAGACUCCUACGGGAGGCAGCAGUGGGGAAUUUUGGACAAUGGGGGAAACCCUGAUCCAGCCAUGCCGCGUGCGGGAAGAAGGCCUUCGGGUUGCAAACCGCUUUUGGUCGGAAAGAAAAGGCGCCACCUAAUACGGGGCGUUCUUGACGGUACCGGCAGAAUAAGCGCCGGCUAACUACGUGCCAGCAGCCGCGGUAAUACGUAGGGUGCGAGCGUUAAUCGGAAUUACUGGGCGUAAAGCGUGCGCAGGCGGUUCUCCAAGUCCGUUGUGAAAGCCCCGGGCUCAACCUGGGAAUGGCAGUGGAAACUAGGGGACUUGAAAUCUGGCAGAGGGGGGUGGAAUUCCAAGUGUAGCAGUGAAAUGCGUAGAGAUGUGGAGGAACAACCGAUGGCGGAAAGGCAG